rnacentral:rRNA from 1 species
GAUGAACGCUGGCGGCGUACCUAAUACAUGCAAGUCGAGCGAACAGACGAGGAGCUUGCUCCUCUGACGUUAGCGGCGGACGGGUGAGUAACACGUGGAUAACCUACCUAUAAGACUGGGAUAACUUCGGGAAACCGGAGCUAAUACCGGAUAAUAUAUUGAACCGCAUGGUUCAAUAGUGAAAGACGGUUUUGCUGUCACUUAUAAAUGGAUCCGCGCCGCAUUAGCUAGUUGGUAAGGUAACGGCUUACCAAGGCAACGAUGCGUAGCCGACCUGAGAGGGUGAUCGGCCACACUGGAACUGAGACACGGUCCAGACUCCUACGGGAGGCAGCAGUAGGGAAUCUUCCGCAAUGGGCGAAGGCCUGACGGAGCAACGCCGCGUGAGUGAUGAAGGUCUUCGGAUCGUAAAACUCUGUUAUUAGGGAAGAACAAAUGUGUAAGUAACUAUGCACGUCUUGACGGUACCUAAUCAGAAAGCCACGGCUAACUACGUG